GUCUGUCCAGUGCCCCUUUUGUAUUGUACUACUGGUGAUCCUUCAAUGAAGCAGUGCAAUGUUAAAAGGGCAUUGGCCAGGGA
rnacentral:pre_miRNA from 1 species